UACGUAGGGGGCAAGCGUUGUCCGGAUUUAUUGGGCGUAAAGAGCGUGUAGGCGGCCAGACAGGUCAGCUGUGAAAACUCGAGGCUCAACCUCGAGACGUCGGUUGAAACCGUCUGGCUAGAGUCCGGAAGAGGAGAGUGGAAUUCCCGGUGUAGCGGUGAAAUGCGCAGAUAUCAGGAAGAACACCCGUGGCGAAGGCGGCUCUCUGGGACGGUACUGACGCUGAGACGCGAAAGCGUGGGGAGCGAACAGG
rnacentral:rRNA from 1 species